rnacentral:rRNA from 1 species
AGCAGCCGCGGUAAUUCCAGCUCCAAUAGCGUAUAUUAAAGUUGUUGCAGUUAAAAAGCUCGUAGUUGAAUUUCGGGACCAAUAUGUCGGUCGUGCUUCGGUACGUACUUGCAUUAUUGGUUUCUCCCUUCUGAAGAACCAUGAUGUCAUUAAUUUGGUGUCUUGGGAAAUCAGGACUGUUACUUUGAAAAAAUUAGAGUGUUUAAAGCAGGCUCACGCUUGAAUACAUUAGCAUGGAAUAAUGAAAUAGGACGUUUGAUUCUAUUUUGUUGGUUUCUAGGAUCGACGUAAUGAUUAAUAGGGAUAGUUGGGGGCAUUAGUAUUCAAUUGUCAGAGGUGAAAUUCUUGGAUUUAUUGAAGACUAACUACUGCGAAAGCAUUUGCCAAGGAUGUUUUCAUUAAUCAAGAGCGAAAGUUAGGGGAUCGAAGACGAUCAGAUACCGUCGUAGUCUUAACCAUAAACUAUGCCGACUAGGGAUCGGAUGUUGUUAUUUUUGAUGACUCA